rnacentral:lncRNA from 1 species
AGUAGCCACUAGCACACCUAGCUCCCAGAUCUGUUUUUGAUGCCAUUCUUCAGUAAAAGGAAGCAAGGCUGCUUGGAGAAAUUGCUAUCAAGGACUGGGGUAGAAAAUAUACAAGAUGAAAUUGGAGCAUCUUGUAGUGCUUGAAAACAGUUGGCAUCUGUGUGAAGAUGUGAAUGGAGGAGGCAGAGUAGGCAGUGAGUGCCGCAGCCACAGCUUGUGUUCUCUGCAGCCCUGGCACAGAAGAUAGGAACACUCAUGGGGGAUGCGGCCACUGUGAUGUCUUCCCACACAAGAAGUGCCAAGUGCUUUUCUCAUGCUUUUCUGGAUUGUCCCAUGGUGGACGAGUCAGCAGGAGUGAGAUGGAGCAGCACAGUAGAGGGGCCAGGAUAUCGUUGUACAUAUUCUCAGCUAAGUGAGCACCAAUAGAGGAGAGGGAGAGUCUCAUGGAAGUUCCUUCUAAGCCUUUGGCUCUUUUUACCUUCAACAAGGUGUGCCACCUCUUUGAUCCAGCAAGUGGGAAGAACAGUCCCGGCCUCUUUGCACACAAGACCGUGAUACCAAUGCACCAUCACAGGCCCCACAGGGGAGCUGUCCGCUUCCCCACACAGCUGCUAGGGGCUCUUUUGCAUGUUCCCAACCUUUCCUGCCUUUAUCUGAUAUUCGUUCCUUAGAUCCUGGGAUGAGGAGGUGGACCAGCAGAAGGUGGGCUUGUGAAGGCAGCCCGGGGUCCAAAUCCUCCUGGCUCUUCAGCUUAGCGGGGUUGCUUAGACUCAGUGGUGUGCUGGAGCAGGCUCCUACCAGCUAGAAAGAACCAGUUCAAUACGUCUCUUCUCAACUCCAUGUUCAGAGUUGUCAGAGAACCAAUUGUUAAAUAUUUACUGGCACUCCACUGCUUAGAUUUUACCAGUGCUUGCAGUGCUAACCAGGAGCUCAUCCCUGGAGGAGAGGCAGAGAAUGUGUACUCCCAGAUGCAGCCAGCUUCCAGAAGAAGAGGUAGGAGCCAAGCAGAGCAUGCCCACAUCAAUCUUCCAGCAUUUAAUGGCCAUAGAAGUUACUGAACCUCCCUUGGAUGGAUAGAAGAUGGCAUUAUCUUUCUUAAAUAUGAUACCUCUUAUCUUUUUGUUCCCUUGACACUUGAGGAGGGAGGCCAAGGGUUGAUCAUGCAAGCAAGUUUGUGCAUUUUGCACAUUUAUUAAGUUAUGCUUUUGAGGAAAUUAAAAGAUCACAAGG